rnacentral:rRNA from 1 species
CGCGUAGGCGGGGAGGUAAGUCGGGUGUGAAAUCCCUCGGCCCAAUCGAGGAACUGCGCCCGAGACUGCUUCUCUUGAGUCCCGGAGAGGAAGAUGGAAUUCCCGGUGUAGCGGUGAAAUGUGUAGAGAUCGGGAGGAACACCGGUGGCGAAGGCGGUCUUCUGGACGGUGACUGACGCUGAGGCGCGAAAGCGUGGGGAGCAAACG